GUCAUUAGGAGGCUGUUGCAAUAAUCUAGGCAAUCGAUGGUGGCAGCUUGGACUAGGGUGCUGACAGAGAGUUGGAGAGAUGUGGAGAAAUGUGCAUCCACCUGCAAAAGGAAGAAUCAAUAGGAUAUGGUGAUCGAUUGGAUAUGAGGGGUGAGGGAGAAUGAAGAGUCAAGAGUGACUUCCAGGUUUUCACUUGAACAGCUGGGUGAACUUGGAACUCUACCAAGAUGGGGAUUCAUAGUCCUGCAAAGACCACUCUCCCGAAAAGAGACCACCUGUGCUCUUCCAAGCAGAUGGGUAUUCCAACUGGAUUUCACCAGGCCCUAAGGAAGUCUCACCUACUUCCAAGCACUAAAGAGAAGCACCAAACUGUGAGUGGAUUUCAGCCUGGUUCUCUUCCCCUUGCUAAUGGGAAACUUUGAUAUGAUUUGAAACACCGUGGUCAUUGUUGGUGAAACUCCAUGGAACCAAAGCUCCUUCAACAACCAAGCAGCAGCUGAACAGAGUGCUCCAGGGCACGACUGCCUGGGGUCCUCAGGGCACUGUAUUUCACACUGGGCCGGAAUACCAUACUCCUCAAAGGGUUCCACAACCACCCGUUUGCACCUCAGAAAAAAUGGUGAAAUAGCCAUUUUUUUUAAAGUUAUUAUUAGUCCCCUUUUACAGAUUAAAAACACUGAGGACCAGAGAGUUACAUGAUGAUAUGCACCCAACUGGUUAGUGGUAGGCACAGAAUAAAUUCUACGGUUUUUAUACCCAAAAAUCUAAUAUCCUUUUACAGAGGAUUUCUCCUGAUUAAGUGAAUACCACGUUGUUUAAAGGCCUGAUAUUCAUUGAAUGGGAUUAAGAAACCAAUGGACUGGAAAACAUGGGCUACGUUUGAUUACAGUUUAGAGCAUCUAAAUGUAAUAAAAACAUUUCAGAGUAAGGGGAGGGGGAAAUAAAAUAAAGCCAGAAGAGCCAAGUUUACUACUCAGCAAACAUACUCCUGAAUCUCUCCAUGGUUUGCACCUCAGACAGCCCCAGUCCAUGAGAAUGGAAGUGAAAAGAAAAUGCAAAUUCAGCUGCAUGUUACAUCCACAGUAAAUGCAAAGACAAAUUAAGAAUUAAAGACAAAUGCAAAUUACCCUGCUCAUAAAAGAAACCUAUACAAAAGACAGGGAAUGAAAAGGCUCUGACAGUUAUGGAUGAAUCUCUGAAGAGGCGCACAGCGACCGUAUUUCGAAAUUCAAGUCUUUUAAAAAGUGGUUAGAAGAAUGAGAACAGCUGCUGUAAAGAAGGGAGGGAAACUGCUGCUAACAGUAAACCAAGCUACAGAGUAAAACUGAGAAUUGUGUCCUUAUUGUCAAGGUGAGGAUAAAAAGCAACAAAGGGCUGAAGCCAAAAGAAUUCUCUCACCAGAAACUCAAUGGCAGACUUUAAAAGCUAAGCCCCUGGCAACCCUUAGGCUGGAGGAGAUGGAGAUGGGAAGAGAACAAAAUAAAGAGGCAAGGUAGAAAAAGAGGGGAGUGUUGGAAGAGAGAGAAGAACCACGGGAUGUCAGAUGGGGGAAAGGGCUAUAGAAGUCAGGGGUCAUUUAUGAACUCAAAUGACUGACAGGUCAGGCAGGUAAUGGAGAUCUUGAUGACUCGGCUUGGGGAAACAGGGGCUGUGGGAAACUGCCUAAAGGCAUUCAAAUUCACUCCUUUUAAAAAAGAUUUAGACAUCGGCAUAGAGUGUGUCUACACAUCAUCAGUUUAUGUCCUUUAUAAUUGAGUCCUUUGGUGCAUCUUCUGUUUUAAAUGUUAGUUAAAUGAGUCAAUUGAAUAAACAAAUCCCUCGUUUUACAGAUGAAGAAA